GACUUCAAACGAUACGUUUCAAGCUGGAACCACAAUUACGAAGACCCCUUCAUCACCAUGACGAAAACCUCCACCAUGUCUCAGGAAUCUCCAGCAUUUGCUUCACAGUGUGAAAAUGGGGGUCAAAUACAGAAACACAGGCCUACUGACAUCAGAUGACAAAGAAAAGACCAAAUUCUAAAUCCAUCACUGGGUUCAGAACCAUUCUAAGACUGGAGCACUGAGAUGACAAGUAGCCUGACAUUAUAUCAUCCUAUUGUAAAGAGAAG